AGGGGGCCCUGGCAGGGGAGGAGAGAGGCAGGGCCUCCUGGAAGCUUCCUCCUGACCGCGAGGCGGGUCCUCCAUUUGCUUCCUUCCCAGGGACGUCCUGCUCAGAAGACCCGGCCCAAUAAAGAGCCACUGGAGGCCAAGAGCUGCAGGGCAGGCUUUGAACAGGGAAGAGGCCGGCUGCCGCAGCCCACCUGGGCCUGGUCAAAGCUGCCUGGGUGGGGGAGGCCAGGCCCAUGGCCACCUGCUUCCUGCCUGACCCAGACAGGGUGGCACACAUCCCAGGGCCCACAUAGGGGCUGCCAGAUGCAGGACAGGCCCUGGGUGCUGAGCUGUGCUUGCCCGGGUGCUGUGGGUGUCUCCGGGCCAGAUGGCGUCCAGACAUGGCUGCUGGAUCCCACCCUCCAGGGCCUCCUGGACCCUUGUGCUGAGCCGUGCAAACAGAAGGGGGCUGGCUCUGAGGAGGGCAAAUCAUGGCCCCUGCCCUGAGGCCUGAGCGCACGGCACAUUCUAGAAUGUCAGCAGAAGCCCUUCCUGCUCCCCUUGGCUGCCAGGACCGGCUCCACCCCAGCAGCUCCGGGGCACCACGCUGACUCUGGGGUUUCUUCCUGUGAACCCCGAAGCACCCUAAGGCAGUUGCUGGAGAGUCCUGGACCUACAGAGGCAGCAGGGUCCGCAGCUCAGGGGAGGAAUAUGACCAGGCCUGGAUUUGCAGACAGAGAAGCCGAGACCCAGGGAGUGAACUCGGGAGGCCCAGACCUGAGGGCGGCAGAGCGAAUGGGGGCAGGCUCAGCCCUCCUGUCCCCGUGGCAGAAUCACCCAAGGGACCCGACAUCCACUCAUCUUUCCACCCCUGGUGCCAGGAACAAAGUGAACCCUCAGAGCGUCAUCUCCUGAAUGACGGACAGGCCACACCCCGCACCCCAGAGCCAGGAGGAGGGGCAGCGGCCAGGCGCCGUAGGGGAGGGGAGGGGAGGGGAGGGCCGCGGGUCGCUGGCGCCCUCUGCCCUGGAGCCCCACCUCCGUCGCCUGGGCCGCCUUCCACCUCGCAGGCCGCCGCGAGCCAUUCAAAUAUUUAUCCUUGUUUCAUUUUCCAAAAGGGGAAUGAAGAGAAAGCAAUACGAAGAGAGGAGCCAGGAGAGAAAAUCCGAGCUUCUCAUUGGAAAGUUAAUUAGUCUAAUUAGGUCUAAUUAAGAGCCCCCCACACAAUGCAGCUCACAAAUGAAUUGCCGGUCUCCUCAUUUCCUUUCAUUCUCCUUUUAGACUGAGCGGGAGGAAAGCCUGGGUAGGGAGCUGGGGUGCAGCAGGGUGGGCACUGGGAGCCCCCGGGGGCAGCGGGCAGAGGGCCCACCGAGGCAGAGCAGGUGAGGUGCAGAUUCCCGCCCCUCCGCGGCCCCCUUCCAGGCCUCCCUGGGAAGCACUCUGCAUCCUUCUCCACCUGGUUCUGCUUCCUGUCUCCAGGACCCUGGAGGGAGGGUGGCUUUGCAGUGGGGUCCCUGCCUCCGCAGCCCAGGCACACAGACUGUCCAGACCCUGUUCGACAGCUCGAGGCCAGCGUCGGGCUGUGCCCUCUCCCCCAGUCACUCCACAGUCUUCCAGAAGUCGUCAGGUGGGGUCAGAAGGUCCUCGGGGGUCCAAGGCCACCUGGAGCCCUGGGCUGUCUGGUCACUCCCAUGGGAGAUGAUGGCAGCUGGGGGAAGAGCCCUGACCGUCUGUGGGUUCCCUCGACUCCGCCUGCUGCGUGUCCAGGGGGACAGAAGUGGGGAGGGCAGAGGUGGACGAAUGGAUUCCUCCAGGCAGCGCAGUUGCCACCAGCUCACCAAUGGCCCUGCCACGCUCCUGGCCAGACGCUGGGGAGAGAAAUGUGAUCCAGACCUGGAUUUGCAGACGGAGAAACUGAGGCCCAGCGAGGUGGAGGGAAGAGAACCCCGAUCUGGAGUGUGAGACAACAGGAGGGGCCAGCAACGUUGGGGCCUGACUCCACUCCAGCCCUACUGCUCUCUACCUGCUCUGUCCUUGUCUUCCCAGCAAGGGACCACCUUGUCCCCACCCACCACAAGGACACCGAGGUAUGGCAGCCUGAGACCCGACGUGGUACAGUCAGACUCUUGGACCAAGAAACCCACCAGCCCCUGGGUCGGCAAGCCCUCUGAACGCACAGGGCUGGUGUCCUGCUAGGGGAGCCACACGUGGCGGUGCUCUGGGGACAGGACACAGGUCCAAAGUCAGAGCCCGAAGUGCGUGACUCCCUGUUUACAAACUGUUCAGAAUAGGCAGAGGCAGGUCAGGGGGUGGCACGGUCUGGGUCUGCAGGGCUAGAGCUGAGGGGCUGGGGAAGGGAACCUGCAGGGCCAGGACGGGGCUGUCACACACCUCUGCACAUACUAAGCCCAGGGGAUUCUGGGGAGCCCAGGAGAGUCUGACGCUGAACUGUAUCCCAAGAAACCCCACAGGUACACACUGUCAAGAGGAAAGGAAGAGAGGACGCCAGGCUUGCUGCUGCAGAGCACCCCUGUCCCUCCUGUCUCGAAGUCCCCCAGGGACUGCGUCGGAGGAGCCCGUCCUGAUCUGUGUCACCUGUGGCCACACAGCUACUUUCUGAGGUACUCGAGGCUCAGACUCUCAGGCACGGGCGGUGGCUCCGGACAUGCAGCCAUGAUACUCAGUGCCCCCCAGACAGGUGCCGUGCAGAGACCCACGCUCCCCAGGCUGCUGCAACAUGGCCAUCCGGCCUGCCCCAGCUCCCAGGACUGGCCCAGGCCCUCUGUGGCCUGUGGAGGGAGUGUCCUGCCGGGGAGCCAAAACGGACAGCAGGUCAAGACAGAAAGCACAGCAUCCACUCGGGAGGCACCGGUGGACAGAGGACAGGGUCCUAACCACUGGGUAGCUGCUAACUUAGUAUCCACCAUGUACCAGGUGCCAUCCUUGUCCCUGGGAAAACAGCCGGGAGCAAAACAGACAAAAAGUCCCUCCCUCCUGUAGAGAGGGGCCGGACAGGCCAGUCAGUGAAGUGCUUCAUACGCCCAGUAUCCACAGGCCAGGAAGACAGGUGGAGCAGGGUGGGCAGGGCGGGGAGCGAGCCGGGCAGCUGCACUGCCAAAUGGCUCAGGAAAGGCCUCCUGAGAAAGGGACCAGUGGUUGGAAGGUGUCAAGCGUCACGCCAGGUGGGUUUCUGGGGGGGCAGGUCGGCAGGGGCACCCGCUGCCCCCAUCAUUCCCUGAGCAUUUUCCCCAUCUGGUCACGAGGACCCUGCCUUCCAGGUGAGGCAGGGUGAGCUGGCCGUCUCUCCCUGGGACCUCACCUGGUCCCUUUCCACCCAGGAGGCACUGAUGCGGGGGCCACCUGCUACUGGCCUGGGCUCCUUCCUGGCAGGUGCUUGUGAGUGACCGGACCAUGGGCUGGGCGAGUGUGGCCACUGCCUCCCUCGGAGCAGGGAGUUGAGAGCCCACUUCCCUGUCCAGCCACCUCACAAAGGAGCUUGGCAGCAAGUCUGCUUCAGGCCUGGCGGGAAGGGGACAAGGAAGGGCGGCAGGGUCCUCAAGGGCUGCCACAGGCUCGGGCAGAGGCUCAUCAUGGGCAACGGCGAAGGCAUGUGGUUCCCACAAGGGCAGAGCCAGGUGUUCACAGCUGGCCAGGGCACUGGCCAGGGAGGAGAGCAAAGGAAGGGGCAGGACCCCUGGGUCACCACCAGGGGUGUGGAGGGAAGGCUUUCUUCACCCAGGAGCCAGGCUGGGGGCACACAAGGGCCAAGUGGGCCAGGCCUGGGGCAGUGCCAAGCAGAGCAUCAGCACCAUGCUGCAGGCAGAAACCACCGAUUCCACACUGACCCUCCCUCCUGGUCGGGGCACGCUGUCCUGCUCUCUCCCCUCCGGCCCUCUUCAUCCACACUGCCGGCCGGGUCGGCUCGCGGCCUCUCCUGAGCCUGUGUCCCGCUGUUCCCUGGACUGCGGCCCUCCUGCCCUCCUCUCCUCUGCUUCCACACUUACAGAUCUGAUCCAGUCACUCCCUGCACAAAGGCCUUUCUCAGCCUAAACCCUGAAAGAACAGAGUGGUCACCUGCUCCCCGAGCACUGGACUCCAGGUGCCCAGGACCCACCCUGCACCUCCAUUCAGUCUUUCCAAGGAAACUGUUACUUUCAUUUGGGACCGUCCUGGUCACAAAAUCCUGUGGCAGGCCUGCAUCACCCGGGCAGGGCCUGGCUACUCCCAGAGGCCCUUCCCAGACCCCCUGGGAGCUUCCCCUCCUCUUUUCUCUGCGACUGAGCUAUCUGCUGCGGCAGGCGCCAGCCCCAUGUGGCCGCUGGAGCAUUUGAAACGUGGCCGGACAGAUUAGAAACGGGCUGUGAGUGACAAGCACAGGGUGGCUUUGGAAGGUUUAGCAUGGAAAGAGAACGCCAAAUGUCUCAAUCGUGUUUAUAUUGAUUGGACGCUGCAGUGGCAAUACUCAGCAUCGGGUUAAAUAAAAUAUAUCAUUAAAAUGCA